rnacentral:rRNA from 1 species
AUUGAACGCUGGCGGCAUGCUUUACACAUGCAAGUCGAACGGUAACACGCCUUCGGUUGCUGUCUAGUGUCGAACGCGUGCGUGAUGCAAAGGAACGUAUCCCGUGGCUGUGGAUAACGCAGCGCAAGCUGUGAUAAUACCGCAUGCGAGCUGAUAAUGAAAACGGCGUAGUGCACAGCAAUAUUUCGCCUUGCGCCUUUGUAACGGCCGGUGUCGGAUUAGCUAGUUGGUGAGGUAAAGGCUUACCAAGGCGACGAUCCGUAGCUGGCCUGAGAGGACGACCAGCCACACUGGGACUGAGACACGGCCCAGACUCCUACGGGAGGCAGCAGUGGGGAAUUUUGGGCAAUGGGCGAAAGCCUGAUGCAGCAAUGCCGCGUGCGUGAAGAAGGUCUUCGGGUUGUAAACCGCUUUUAGCAGGAAAGAAACGGUGUGCGAGAAUACCGGCAGGUAAUGACGGUACCUGAACAGUAAGCACCGGCUAACUACGUG